GUUGAGCUUGAUCCAACCCCCAAUACUAAACUAGGAAGAGAAAAAAUGAAACUACAGAGAGACCAAGAAAUAGCCAAGCGAGAACACAGACGAGUUAUGUUGGCAGUCGAGGAAUUUAUGAAAGUUUUGAAGAAGCACAUUUUAAUUAAAAACCACACAAUAAAUCGGAAAGUACUAGAGGAAGUUUUCCAAUGUGAGGAAUUCUCUAUGAAGAGCAGUGAAUUGCUUUUUGGAAAAGACUGUACAGUGGAGGAUGCCUUUGAAUUUCUGGACAGAAAUAAAAAUGGCGAGAUAAACUUCCAGGAGUUAAUAAACUUUAUACAAGGAACAGGUGUAAAUUUACAGCAACGUUUUCUUGGCUACCAGAGAAAAGACAUUGAUGGACUCUUCAAUUACGCUUUAACGCUUGAAAACGCUAUCAUGACGAACGUACAACGGGCAUUUGUCAAUCGCCAAUACGUGGAUAGAACAGUGGGCAUUAAUACUGGACACGUGGGCACAUCUGAUUUUACAUUGGAAGAUGGAGAUAGGAGCUUUGCUGUUGCUCAAGGUUACAAAUCGACCAUGAUUUUUUUGAAAUACUUUGUCGCCAAGAAACUUCUGAAGGAUGCUGAAUCACUUCCAGAACUUGCCAGUUACAUGUCUAGCAGUUUAAGAAAUGACGCUAGAGAAGAAUAUGAAAAUGGCGUCUCUACGGGAAUGAUGAGUUGGACGCCAUAGUUGGUGCUCUUGCUAAGGCUACCAAUAUAAAUCCUGAUAGUAUGUACUGUAAAGAGGGCUUUGUUUGACGGAAUUUGUUCUUAACUAGAAUGUAUAUUUUUAUAGCUUUGGUAAAGGACGACGUUUACAUGUUUAGUUGAUUGUUUUCUGCGAAUAAUGAAUAAAAAAAUUGUAUUAAUG
rnacentral:misc_RNA from 1 species